AGAGUUUGAUCCUGGCUCAGAAUCAACGCUGGCGGCGCGCUUAACACAUGCAAGUCGCACGAGAAAGUGGAGCAAUCCAUGAGUAAAGUGGCGUACGGGUGAGUAACACGUGGAUCAUCUACCUUUUAGUGGGGAAUACCCCCGGGAAACUGGGGAUAAUACCGCAUAAGCCUGUAAAGGGAAAGCAGCAAUGCGCUGAAAGAGGAGUCCGCGGCUGAUUAGCUAGUUGGUGAGGUAAUGGCUCACCAAGGCGAAGAUCGGUAGCCGGCCUGAGAGGGCACACGGCCACACUGGCACUGAAACACGGGCCAGACUCCUACGGGAGGCAGCAGUGGGGAAUCUUGCACAAUGGAGGAAACUCUGAUGCAGCGACGCCGCGUGAGCGAUGAAGCCCUUCGGGGUGUAAAGCUCUUUCGACGGGAACGAUAAUGACGGUACCCGAAGAAGAAGCUGCGGCUAACUACGUGCCAGCAGCCGCGGUAAUACGUAGGCAGCAAGCGUUGUUCGGAAUUACUGGGCGUAAAGAGUGUGUAGGCGGUGUUCUAAGUUUGUCGUGAAAUCUCCCGGCUUAACUGGGAGGGUGCGGCGAAAACUGGAAUGCUAGAGGAUGGGAGAGGUAAGCGGAAUUCCUGGUGUAGCGGUGAAAUGCGUAGAUAUCAGGAGGAACACCUGUGGUGUAGACAGCUUACUGGACCAUUUCUGACGCUGAGACACGAAAGCGUGGGUAGCAAACAGGAUUAGAUACCCCCGUAGUCC
rnacentral:rRNA from 1 species